AUGGGCGCCGACUUGUUUGGCUAUAUAGAUCAAACCCUAAAGGAGCCUCCCAAAACCAUCACCACCAAAGACAAAGAUGGCAAGGAUCAGGUGAUUCCAAACCCUGCCUAUGCCCCCUGGUUGAUCCAGGAUCAACAGAUCGUUGCCUAUCUCCUUCACAACCUAUCCAAAGAAGUUAUUGUCCAAGCUGCCUCCCUUGAAUCCUCACGUGCGAUCUGGUCUGCACUGGCGGCUAUGUUUUCUGCCGUCUCGCUGUCCCGCGUCAACAACAUCCGAUCUGCGCUAACCAACGCGCAAAAAGGUACUCAGUCGGCCUUGGCAUACUUCGGGCACAUGCGCUCCCUCUCCGAUGAGCUCGCGGCGGCGGGCAAACCACUCGGGGAGGGGGAGCUCAUCUCUUUCAUCGUCGCGGGCUUGGACAUGGAGUACCAGCCAAUCAUCUCCACCCUCGACGUGCGCACUGAACCUGUCACCAUCAACGCACUCUUCUCCCUGGUGGCGAACUUCGAUCAGCGGAUUGAGAUGUUCCAUGGCGGUGGUGCUGGUGGCUUCAAGUCAUCGACAAACGCUGCUUCCAGGGGUCGUCCAAACACCGGCAAGGGAGGCUACCACAACUAG
rnacentral:rRNA from 1 species